rnacentral:rRNA from 1 species
UACGAAGGGGGCUAGCGUUGUUCGGAAUUACUGGGCGUAAAGCGCGCGCAGGUGGUCCUUCAAGUCAGAGGUGAAAGCCCAGGGCUCAACCCUGGAACGGCCUUUGAGACUAGAGGACUUGGGUACGGGAGAGGUGAGUGGAAUUCCGAGUGUAGAGGUGAAAUUCGUAGAUAUCGGGAGGAACACCAGUGGCGAAAGCGGCUACCUGGCCCAUUCUUGACGCUGAGGCGCGAAAGCUAGGGGAGCAAACGGG